rnacentral:lncRNA from 1 species
UUUUUUUUUCCUUUUUCAUACUUUUUAGAUUGAAGUUGGUUUAAAACUCUAAUUGACUCUAAUUGAUGCACCACCCCGCCGCAAAGGCUGAGUAUGUUUUGGCGUUUUUCUGCAUUUUAGACCAUAGAGGUCUUACAAAGAUGUUGGAGUUUGCCUCAUCUUUGUUGGAUUGAAGAAAAAAAUGGGGCAUUCAAAAUAUCUAGGACUCGCAUCCCAAGAACUAUGGUCCUGGAUCCCAUUCUUGGUAUGCUGUUUUUUUCCUUCAAUUUGCAUUAGAAAUUCAUUAUUUUCCCUCUCUUUCUACGGAAUUUAUUGCAUUGUAAAUUCACCUUCAAUUUUUUCCUAGUCUGAUGAGAUUUGAAUUUUUACCCCUAGAGUAAAAAUACUCAAACAACUUGUAGGAAAAAUGCUCAUGUAAUGCUUUAAGAGAAUUGGCUUGAGGUAGAAAUUAGUUCUGAUUUAAUAGUACUUGAAGUCACUUAAAUCUGUCCUUAUGUGAAUUUUCAUGGUAUGAUAAUCAGGUUUUAUUCCUUGUGUGUGAUGCAUGUGUGAAAUCAGAAGAUAGUUUGUGUUAUCAAAUUUGAAACCAAUAUAGUUGUAAUUUGGAUUCAUAUUAAAAGUAUCGUUGUAUGGUAUUUCAUGAUUCUUUUUUAGUUGGAAUAAAUGAUCAAAGAAGUGUGCAUUGUCACUACAAGGAAAAAAGUAUAUGGUGACAUUUAUAACGAGUCACCAUAAACAUAGGGUGUCACUACAACAUAGCGUCACCUUCUCCAUUGACACCAUAGAGGGUAUCAAUUGGUGACGUAUUUGGAAGUGACACCAAAGUAGAUAAAUGGUGACCCAUUCGGAAGUGACACCAUAUAUUUCUAGUGAUGAUAGGGUGUCACAUUAAAUACAUCAUCUUUGAGUUAUGAUGUCACAUUAAAUGCAUCACCUUUAAGUUAUGGUAUCACAUCAUUGUAAAUUAUUGUGGAAGAUAUGAUUGGUUUUAGUUGUUGAUUUUUGUAAUGCUUAUGAAUUAAUAAGAUUAACCUAUUUAUAUUUUAUCCAUAAAUAUAACAAUCAUAUUAUAUUUAACUCAUUUUUCUGUAAUGUUUCUGGAAUAACUCAUAAUACAUUGAUCAUCUAAUAAUAUUUGUAUAUCAAAUGUUCACAAAAGGAUAGUACGUCCAACAUAUCAAACCCAUCAAAACUAAAAAAGAAGAGUGAAUACAUACCAAAACAUGAUUUAGAAAUGUUAAAGAUCCCAAGAUUCAUGUAUACCUCCAUUUCCUAAGCAUAAAACCGGCUAACCAUAAAAUGACAUAAAAGUCCCAUAUAAAAAUCUAAAUUUCUCAGUUGCAAUUAAAGUAACGUUUAUGUCCUACAACGUAUAACAUAAGAGUUGCAUUUAAAAACCCAAAAUCUUGUUGCCUUCUUCUUUCUUUUUAUUCUCCAUUUCACCAUCCCAAAAGUGUAUACCUGCAUUUCAAAAUUUAAUGAGUUUUAGAGAUUUUUAUUGAAGAAAAUAAACAUGGAUUGAUGUUAUCAUAAAUGAACAAAUCUAAGAACUAUUUUUUUUUUCAAAUAGAAACAUUAUUCAAAGAAUAAGCAUUACUAUACAAUACCUAUGGAAAAAUUCAUGUAGUAUCUAAGGGACUCACCAUGCAUGGUGAUCAUGAUGCAUUAACAUGAUUCAUGAUUAGUUGUAGCACAAAAGUAGCCCAUUCUCCUCUAAUUUCAUCGAAGAGCGCUUCUUCUGAUGAAUAAAUGGAAAUAUAAUUCUACUUGAGAAUAUAUUUUUUUUUAUCAAAAAACUGAAAUCAAAUAAGAAAAUAACAUUAAAAUGCAUAACAUUUGGAAGCCUAAAACUAUGUACAAUUCAUUAAAUAAGUAAUACCUUUGAAGCAAUAAUUGUAGGAUAAAAAAUUAUCUCUUUAAUGAAUCUCAUAAUAAAGUAGCCACAUUCGAACCCUUCUUCUUGUCUUGGACACUAAUCGAUUAAUUAUAAAAUAACAUUAGUACUCACAUAUAUAAAUGGUGCAAAUGCAUAAGCUAAUGUGUAAAGAAAAAUUUUUGGAUGUCACUUGCACUAGUUGCUAAGAUGACUUCCUCUUAGAUGUUUUCUUUACAGAUAUUCGAAGAGUCCUAUGUAAAUAAGUUCAAUGGGUACAUUUUAAAAAUAGGUAAAUGUUAUAUGUUUUAAUAUAUAUAAAUAAUAAAAAAAUGUGUUUGAGGUGAAUGUAUUUUUUUUAUUUAAAAAUAAUACUAUGAAAAAUAAUAGGAAGAACUUACAUGUUUACGAUAUCCUUUAAGUCCUCACAUGGUUUGUGAUGCAUAAGGUCAAGAUAGUGGACUAUCAUUUUCCUUGGUUCAAGCACUACCAAAAUAUAAACCCUUUAAGUCCUCAUAUCUAUUUUUAUUAACAAAAUAUAAAAACUUUCCAAAACUCAACUACUUAAAUAUAAAAACAAAAUCAAAUAAAAUAUCUAGCUAAUUGGAUUUUAGAAACUAAAUAAACUAUAAAUAAACUAAAUAUAAAAACUAAAUAAAAUAUCUAUGCCCAUGAAUUAAUUGAAGGGGAUAGAAAGACACAGAGAGAACAUGGCUAUGGUUAUGAUUUCCAUCUUAUCAUCUCCCGUCAAUACCACACAUGCCCAUUUUAAGGUUGGACACUACUUUUGUUGAUGGACUUGGAUAGGGAACUUCAAAAUUGAAAACAUAAAUAAACCCUUAUGUAAAAAUAAAAAAAAAAACAUUAAAAUAUAAUUGACCAUUAAAAUAUUUACUCUCUUUCAUCACUUUCAUUUGAAUAUUAAUAAUCUCUUAUUGAGAUAGAUACUUACAAUUUAACAAAAUAGAAAUUCCUAAUAAUAAAAAAUAUAAAAAUUUCUAUUUCUAUUAACAAAAUAUAAAAACUUUCCAAAACUCAACUACUUAAAUAUAAAAAUAAAAUCAAAUAAAAAAUCUAGCUAAUUGGAUUUUAGAAACUAAAUAAACUAUAAAUAAACUAAAUAUAAAAACUAAAUAAAAUAUCUAUGCCCAUGAAUUAAUUGAAGAGGAUAGAAAGACAUAGAGAGAUCGAACAUGGCUAUGGUUAUGAUUUCCAUCUUAUCAUCUCCCGUCAAUACCACACAUGCCUUCCCGAAUUGGUCCUUUUGGGGUUGGAUACUCUCAACGAAAUUCUAUAUCUCAUUCCCACUUAGAUACAAACAAAAAAAUCAUUUUUUUUUCCUCUCUCGUUUUUUAGAAAGGAUGAAGAUUAUGUGAUAGUAUAUCUCAAAAAAAUUAUGUACCUGUCAUUCUCACACAAAUAGAUAUUAAAAAUCAUUCAUUUUUUUCCUGUUUUUCACUUUUUUUAAGGAUUUGAUCAUGUGUUUGGUUUAGAUUAAAAAAUCAAUUAAUCUACAGUUUUUUCUUCUAUGCUAGAAGAUUAAACCUAAAUUUUUAUUCCCUACAACUCAAGAAUACACAAUUCACAAAAACCAUAAUACAAAGAUGUUGAAACAAUUAAUAUAAUGACAUUAAUAAAAGAAAAAAAAAUGAUAGAUCCAAGAGAUUUUGGGUUACCUGGGAGUCCACAAAGUGAAGAAUGUCGGUUGUGAGCGUGUUGACUAUGGGUGAGAGAAAAUGUUGAAGAAGAUCACGAUUUUAUAUAUAGGAUUUAUAUAUUGAGAUUUUUUGGAUUGUGGGUGAGAUAUGGAAACAAUGGGAUUUUUAUAUAGUAUCCAUCAUUAUUAAUUCUAAAAAUGGGUUAUAAUACUUAAAAAAAAUUAUUUUAUAUGAUGUCACUUCCCAAAAAAUGACACUAUAAAUAUAAAAUUAAUAUCAUCUAACUACCUCAAUUGAAGAUUUUUUAUAUGAUGUGUCACCUUUAUUAAUUAUAAAUCCUAUGGUGUCAUUAUUUUAAAAGUGACACCGUAAAUAGUGACACCAUAAACUAUUUUUGUAGUGUCAUUAUUUUAAAAGUGACACCGUAAAUAGUGACACCAUAAACUAUUUUUGUAGUAGUGUGUCUUAAUCAGACGGCAACAGAGCAGGAGGGGAAAUGACUACUGUUAAAAUACCUGAGGGUCCAAAUUGGUUGCCUGUAUAUUUAUAUCUGCUAGUGUUUUUUAUGUAUGUUGCAUUCAAAUGUGCUGCUACUGCGUAACUGUAAAGGCAUUUAGCAUUAAGCACACUAAAAAUCUUUAUGGGGUAAAUGAUUUUGUUUUUAUGUUGAUGGAUUGUAGCCUUGUUUUGACUUGAUGUGAACUCCUAUCCCCCAUAGUUCUGAAUAUCUUAAGAUAAUAUCAAGCUGAAUAGAAUGAAGACUAGAGACUUCACCUUAAAUUCAUUUUGAUCGAGUGAUCCCAUCCUUGCGUUUAUUUCUCUCCCUUUCACUUCUCAGGUUUGCUCUAUUGUUUUCAUGAUCACUUUCUAUCAACCAAUAACCAUUGAUCACUUUGAUAACUUUGAUAACUUUCUAUCAACAAGAUGUCAACCUCUAAGAAUCAAUGUCAUAUUCCCAGACAUCGUCUCUGGCUAUGGGCAAGAAUAAGGCCUAUCAUGAUUCUUAGUUUUAACAAUACCAAUGAGUAAAGAAAUCUACCCUACUGGUAAUGUAAUUUAGUAUUUUGAAAAUGCCAGAGUUCAAUAAUCAUGUAUUCUUCUUAAAACUUGUUUGGUUUAGACUCCUGGUUUUUACUGAUUUCGUCAUCCAUAGAAAAUCAUUUCUUAGGAAUUCCUUUAGUUGCACUAGUAGGUGUUAUUUCACACAUUGUUCUCUCUUGUUUAUGUAGGAAAUAUAAUUAUUCCUAAAACCCUUUGGAUUGAUAUAAAUGUUAGACAGAACAUUGCCAUUCCAGCUGAUGUUGAAGAUAUGUUGACAGAAACUGACACGAUGGCCCAAACUGGGAUUUUGAUAUAGAUGACACAUAUUCAUUCAUUCAACCUUUUCUUUUUAGUUUUUUCUUCAAUAUAAAUGCCUUUUGUGUUAUUCUAAUAGCUCUAAACAAUCCUAUUUUUUUCUAAAAGUGAAAAUGGAAAGAAGGAAAUGCUUUAUAUCAUGUCUUUCCUUUACAUUACUUUAAAAUACAAGCCAGCUGCCAUGGAUUUUAUUUCUUUCUUUUUCUUGGUUGAUUUCGCUUUCUGAUUUGCAAGAAAAAAGGAUGAAAAAGAAAAAAUCAAGAUAUUCUUAUUAAUUUAACCAUCUGAUUCUCUUUCAAGGCAGAAUCUGAGGGAAAUUUGAAGGGAAUCCUUUGUUACACUUUGGAUGAUGUGUAUCAACUAUCAAGCGCCUUUGCGGGAGACUGCAGGUGAGGCAAAUCUUGCAAUAUCUCUUUUUCUCUAAAACAUCCUUCCCCCUUUUUGUGGUUCAAAAUUAUCUUUUUAUUAAUCUAGUAAUGAUCUAUAUCUAUUGAUUACAAGUGGAAACAAUGUUAAACUUUCUAAUUCCAACAUAUGCUGUCUUAGAAUUUUGAUUUAGUCAUAGCUGCUGUGUAUUCUAUAGAAUGUUAUCAUUUAGAGUACCAUGUGAUCAUUUUUUUUUUUUUUUCCGAUUGAGCAUUUCUCGUUAUUUGUAAUUGGAAAUGGAACCAUCAAGAAUUAGAGAUGUUCACCAUGUUGCAGAUCGUAUAAGCUCAAGGGGUAAAUGAUAUAGGUUCAUUUGUAGACAGUAAAACCUGCUAGCUCAUACUGGUUCUUGUUUUGUUUCUUUCUUUUUUCUCUCUCUCAUAGCCUACCAAAUACCGAUUACUGCUUGGCUUGACUGGAAGCUGAUAGCAGUCUGUUCAAGUAUAUUUUAGUUCCUUUCUUAAUUUUUUUUGAAUCGAUACGGAUGUGGAAACUUUUAUACAUCAAUCAUUUACACAAUAAUAAUCAUGCAAAUCUGGUUCACUUUUCCCAUUUGCUAUAAUUGAUUAACUUAGGAGCUGUAUGGAGAGGAAAAUGACAUGGGUUGGGGUAUGACAAUAAUAGGAAACAUCUGGUGCAGACUCUUGGUAUUAAAAUGACACUAAAAGGUUCAGUGGAUUGCCUCAUUUGAAGUAACUGAAUGCCUCAAGAAUGCAUCGAUUGAAUGCAUUACUUUAAUAUUUCUGGAUCUGAACUCCAUGUUUUAGUUUUUCUUCUCUAGUCAUUCAAGUUUUGUAUCUUCAUGAGCCUCUUAUGAGAUAUGUAUUUUAAUGGUAUAUUCUGACCUCUGAAAAUAAAGUCUUGAAACUGAGAUCUGAUGCUGUUAGAAUGGAGCCUAUUCCCUUGGAUGUUAAUGGCCAUUCAUUUUGGAGAUUAAAAGUGUAUACUGCUGAACCGGAUUUUUUGCUUCAAGGCAAGUUUUAUAUGCAUCAUCUUGAACUGUUAAUAAAUUCCAAUUUAUAAGUUUUAUAUGUUGUUGGUUUUGUUUCUACAUUGCCCUGCAAUAAGUAACAGAGUGUGAUUUCUAAUCUUUCUCCACUUACGAGAUUAUAAAGCCUACCUAUAUCUUGAACAUGUAUAGAGGUCUCUUCAGCAACUGCCACCAGCAUUGGAGAAUGUAAUCUCUAGUCUCUCAUAUUUGACACAUAUAUGAC